ACGUCGAUAGUGUAAUGGAUAAGCACAACAGAAUACCAUCUGCAAGCGCGGGUUCGAAUCCCGCCUGAGGUU
rnacentral:tRNA from 1 species